UGGGGAAUCUUGCGCAAUGGGCGAAAGCCUGACGCAGCGACGCCGCGUGGGGGAUGAAGGUCUUCGGAUUGUAAACCCCUUUCGGGAGGGAAGAUGGAAUGGGGUAACCCAUUCGGACGGUACCUCCAGAAGCAGCCACGGCUAACUUCGUGCCAGCAGCCGCGGUAAUACGAAGGUGGCAAGCGUUAUUCGGAUUUACUGGGCGUACAGGGAGCGUAGGCGGUUCGGUAAGCCCUCUGUGAAAUCUUCAGGCUUAACCUGGAAAAGUCGGAGGGGACUGCUGGGCUAGAGGACGGGAGAGGAGCGCGGAAUUCCCGGUGUAGCGGUGAAAUGCGUAGAGAUCGGGAGGAAGGCCGGUGGCGAAGGCGGCGCUCUGGAACGUUUCUGACGCUGAGGCUCGAAAGCGUGGGGAGCAAACAGGAUUAGAUACCCCCGUAGUCCCUGAGCGGGCUGGCAAGGCGCAU
rnacentral:rRNA from 1 species